UGAGACCUGAUGCCGAGCCGAUUGUGGUGAAGUGGAUGAUCCUAUGCUGUCGAGAAAAGCCUCUAGCGAGUUUCAUGGCGGCCCGUACCCUAAACCGACUCAGGUGGUCAGGUAGAGAAUACCGAGGCGUUCGGGUGAACUAUGGUUAAGGAACUCGGCAAAAUGCCCCCGUAACUUCGGGAGAAGGGGGGCCAUCACCGGUGAUWGSAYUURCUSCWUGAGCUGGGGGUGGCCGCAGAGACCAGCGAGAAGCGACUGUUUACUAAAAACACAGGUCCGUGCGAAGCCGUAAGGCGAUGUAUACGGACUGACGCCUGCCCGGUGCUGGAACGUUAAGGGGACCGGUUAGUSMRMYUUCGGKYKKGCGAAGCUGAGAACUUAAGCGCCAGUAAACGGCGGUGGUAACUAUAACCAUCCUAAGGUAGCGAAAUUCCUUGUCGGGUAAGUUCCGACCUGCACGAAUGGCGUAACGACUUCUCGACUGUCUCAACCAUAGGCCCGGUGAAAUUGCACUACGAGUAAAGAUGCUCGUUUCGCGCAGCAGGACGGAAAGACCCCGGGACCUUUACUACAGUUUGAUAUUGGUGUUCGGUUCGGCUUGUGUAGGAUAGCU
rnacentral:rRNA from 1 species